UUUGAAACCUGUGUUGUGUAAUUGGUUCUGCUACACUGAGCAGAAUGAGUGUCCUUUUUCAAAAGCAGAAGACAGAAAAACAAGUUAACUGAGUGAUCUGUGCAGUCUCCCGCCUGUCCUGCCGUCCCCUCUAGGUGACCGAUUCUUGCGUGCUUGCUCUCACUUCAGCAGUCCUGGGAGGAGCAAUCAGUUCCCACAAAGUUUCUCGAAGCAGUUUGCCUGACUUCUAGCAGGUUUCUGGGGAGGACCUGGAUCCAGCCUACCUUGAAUAAGAGCUGUGGAAGGAGAUGGCUACGACUUUUCUGGUUCCACCUAUCGUGGGAAUUCACCCUGGCUCCACCAAUGUGUGACUAAUUUCCUGGACAGGGGAACUGACAUAAACCUCUGGUGUAGGACAGCACCAUGGGCCUGACCCUAGUGAUGGACACCAAUUCUGGACAAGCAUACACUGACCCAAGCCCAGCCUGGCAGCGCAUGCGAGAGAAAAAUCACCCACCACCAAGCGAUGCAGCCUGCCAGCGCUGCGGGCUCCUCAGGCAUUGCAGGGCCUGGUACUGGGGUCCACCACACAUCCUAGGCCAUGAGCAAGGUGAAAUGCCUCAUGCAGCAUGGCUGGUGGCUGCCACCAUAGCAGGACUGCAACAAGCUUCGGUUCACUGUGUGGGUUUUUGAAAUUGGGCAUAGAAGAACGUGGGAAAGGACUCAAGCAUUAAUGAGAGGAAAAUCGGUCCACAUCUUGCAGGUACAGUAGCUGAUAAGAGCACAGGGCUGUUCCUCAGAUCUAAGUGAUGCUGAACAAUUUCUCUGCUCCGGAUUUUCAAUGCAAAAAUCCAUGCUCACCAAUGCAGCUCAUAAAUGCUUGACAGUAACAUUCAGGAUAUCUGUAAUACUCUUUGAACCAGACAUACAAGUUUAGUAGCUGUUUUUAACUGGUAAUUGUGCAGUACAGUGAGCAUCUACGGCCUGUUUUCAGAGGUGACUUACAUGCCUAAAUCCUAAUGAGUUAUUUUUAAGCUAGAAUGUCCUAGUUUCAGCUUCAGGUUCACCUACUGGACCUUGUUAUCUGUCCUUAGAGGAAAGAUUGGUCAUUUUUAAUAAAAUGAAAAAAAAAAAAAGGGCAGAAAGGACAAUUGGAGC